GGCCCAAUUGUUAAUCUUAUAUAGCAACUGAAUGUACACAUAAGUUAUAACAGUUUUUGAUAUAUAUACCAUAGAUGUUUUGGUAAUUUAAAUAUUUUUCUAUGAACAAUUCACGUAGAUGUACAAUAUGCAAAUCGAUUAAUUAUUUAUUGAUUGAUUAAUCCAAGGAUAUUUCUACAUAUUUUAUUUAUGAGUGGGCUUAUUUCCGUGUGAGCUAUCUAUGUGAGCUUUUUUCCUUGUGAGUAUAUUUCUAAGUGAGCAUUUUUCCAUGUGAGCUUUUUUCUGUGUGGGCUUUUUUCCUGUGAGCAUUUUUCUGGUCACCUUAGUUUUGCUGUUCUAUGCAGGUUUGAAUUAAUUCAAGAUGUUUGAGAAUACAUAUAGGCAACAGCUGUAAAGUAAAAAUUAUGUAUUUUUGCAUCUUCUUACUCUUUUUCUUAUAUAAAAUUCAUUAUUAAAUUUGUAGUUGGCCCUUGUGUAUAUUUGUCAAAAAUAUAUUUGUGAACUGUUUUCAUAAAAUUCUGCACCUUAUUUUUAAAAACUUGGUAACUUGAAAUGUAUUUUUAAAAAUAAAGCUUGUACUUUAAAACACUUUGCAUACUUUUUUUAGGCAAGAAUAGCAAGAAUAAUUCUUAUAUUAGAUGAAUAUUCCUUUAUAUCAGCAUUAAGUAUUGAUAAAUUGUGUAACACUACUUUUAUAUCUACUUUUUCUUUCAGAAUCCAUCUUUUCAUCUUAGUAUUAUGUCUUGUGUUGGCAGCAAAGAAGAAAAUAUUGAAUUGUUUCUAGCUGACCUAAAUGUUAUUUUCGAUGCAUUCAUGGAAAGCCAUACAGAUUGCAGAACAUUAUGGAUAACUGAAGUAUGUUGUAAAUGUGGAAAUAAACUAUUCACAAUUCCUUUGAAAUCAUAAAUUGUACAGUUAUUUGUAUAAUAAACUUUUAUAUAUUAUGAAA